GACGAACGCUGGCGGCGCGCCUAACACAUGCAAGUCGAGCGAUAACCAGUCCUGGACGUGGGACGAGCGGCGAACGGGUGAGUAACACGUGGGUAAUCUACCCUCGGUUUCGGGAUAGCCCGGGGAAACCCGGAUUAAUACCGAAUGGCCUCUCAGGCUCUCGGGCUUGAGAGAAAAGGUAGCUUCGGCCUCUGACCGAGGAUGAGCCCGCGGCCGAUUAGCUAGUUGGUGGGGUAAUGGCCCACCAAGGCGACGAUCGGUAGCUGGUCUGAGAGGACGAUCAGCCACACUGGGACUGAGACACGGCCCAGACUCCUACGGGAGGCGAGCAGUGGGGAAUCUUGCGCAAUGGGCGAAAGCCUGACGCAGCGACGCCGCGUGAGGG
rnacentral:rRNA from 1 species